ACCAGCAGCCGCGCAGGUGAAGGACAAUACACAACAAUGCACGUGACUCCUUUUAAUCUUUUUUCUAAUUGCAGGACACACCAACUUGACGUGCAGCAAAGUGUCACUUGUAUAUAUUUUGUGUAAUUUUGCUUGUAUAUAUUUUGUGCGUAUUUUGAAGUAUUUUGUUACAAAUUUGUAAUGUACAUAGUUUAAUUUUACUGUUGACAAUGUUCUCAAGCUAAUUCAAUUGAUGUUUUUGUUACAUAAAAAAUCUUUUCAAAGGAUCAGUUCAGUGUUGACAUCUUUUCUUUGUAAUUACAUAAUGUAUAAUUUAUAAAUCUGAUGUGAACCAGGUUAAUGAUGAGGAUCGAACAUGAUCGUAUUGAUCCAUCAUGCCACAUCUAUUGAGAGAGUAGAACAUUUGAUCAGAUCUGUGUGUCCCUCACUCGCCCAAUCACCAGCUCCCGAUCACUUCACCUUUAUUCCAGGGAGACGAUCGUUCAGGGUAAAAGGCCCAUCUCCUGCCGACGGCCCCAGGUGGUCUAGGCGGCUCACAAUACACAUUGUAUAUCCUAUAGGUGUGACUCUGUGGGGGGCAGGUAGGAGCCCCAUAAAGGCUGCCUGGAUGAGGCUGUUGGUCUAGUCAAGGUCUAGUCUGAGGCUGCAACAACUUUGGGGAAGUCCACAAAAAAGAAAUGCAAAACUUUGGAAGAACAGCACAUUUGAUAAAACACAUAGAGAGAAAGUGGAUCCAGGAGUAUACAGAAGAAACAUCAAGGGUAUCUUCUGAGGACGAAUCCCUUGCCUGGCACUCCCCAUGGAGAUCAUCAUCCUCCUCACCCGCCACAAGCACUGCCAACAUUGCUUUUCCAGAGGCUGCCACCACCGCCGCCGCCACCGCCGCCGCCAACGCUGCCGCCGCUGCCGCCGCUGCUUCACUACAAGAACAUGCUGCUUGCUUAAAAAAGGAGGAAGGGCGCCAACAACAGCGCCAAGAGGAGCCCCAAGAAGAGCUCCAAGAGGAGCCCCAAGAAGAGACCCACGAAGAGCGCCAAAGCCAAUGCCGAAAUUGUGGACUUCCCAGGACCCUGUCGAAGGGGCAUGCCUUUUACAAAGGGCAUUUCUACUGCACACACACUGCAGGGCCUGGGGCAAAGUCUGCCAAUGAGUGGCUGAAGGAGCAGGAAGAAAAGGAAGCACCAAAAAUUCCCAGGACAACUGCCUUCACCAUGAGGAAAAAGUGGGAGAAUGAGCACAGUUUCAAACCUCCAGAAAACAGAAGGAAGCCGAAUAAACUUAGAAUCUGCCAGCUGUGUGGCCUGCCAAAGCAGAAAGAUUAUGGCCACAGCCAGCACCAGUCUGAACACUUUUGUGCUUUUUACGCUGGCAAAUCUGUAGAGUUGUGGCUGGCAGAGAGGUGUAAGGUGUGACCCACCACAUAAAUACUGGUGUCACUCUGUGUGUGUGUGUGUGUGUGUGUGUGUGUGUGUGUUUAAAUAAUCAUGUUAAUUCAAAGUUUAUUUUAGCAUUCAUCGCUUGAAAGUCAAAUGUUAGUAGUAGUAGUAGUAGGAAAGAAGUGACCCUCCACCACAAUAUUGCUUGUGUCAUUAUGUUGUGUGUGUAAUAAAAAUAUGUUACUUCUAAGUUUUUUUGGUAAU
rnacentral:lncRNA from 1 species